GAACUAGCAGUGUUUCUGUAUCCAUCUGUGUGAUCCUUGUACUGCCUUGUCUCUGUACUGCAUAUUGGUCUCAUCCACCCUCUUGAUUUCAUGAGUUGGAG